rnacentral:tRNA from 1 species
AAGGUUUUAGCUUAAUAAAAGUUUACUGAUUUGCAUUCAGAAGAUAUAGGAUAAACCCCUAUAAACCUUA